rnacentral:rRNA from 1 species
GGGGAAUAUUGCACAAUGGGCGAAAGCCUGAUGCAGCAACGCCGCGUGAGGGAUGAAGGCCUUCGGGUUGUAAACCUCUUUUAUCAGGGAAGAAGCGAAAGUGACGGUACCUGAAGAAAAAGCACCGGCUAACUACGUGGCCAGCAGCCGCGGUAAUACGUAGGGUGCAAGCGUUGUCCGGAAUUAUUGGGCGUAAAGAGCUCGUAGGCGGUUUGUCGCGUCUGCUGUGAAAAUCCAAGGCUCAACCUUGGACCUGCAGUGGGUACGGGCAGACUAGAGUGCGGUAGGGGAGAUGGGAAUUCCUGGUGUAGCGGUGGAAUGCGCAGAUAUCAGGAGGAACACCAAUGGCGAAGGCACAUCUCUGGGCCGUAACUGACGCUGAGGAGCGAAAGCGUGGGGAGCGAACAGGA